rnacentral:rRNA from 1 species
AUUGAACGCUGGCGGAAUGCUUUACACAUGCAAGUCGAGCGGCAGCGCGGGGGCAACCCUGGCGGCGAGCGGCGAACGGGUGAGUAACAUAUCGGAACGUACCCAGUCGUGGGGGAUAGCUAUCCGAAAGGAUAGCUAAUACCGCAUACGUCCUGAGGGAGAAAGCGGGGGAUCGCAAGACCUCGCGCGAUUGGAGCGGCCGAUAUCGGAUUAGCUAGUUGGUGGGGUAAAGGCUCACCAAGGCGACGAUCCGUAGCGGGUCUGAGAGGACGACCCGCCACACUGGAACUGAGACACGGUCCAGACUCCUACGGGAGGCAGCAGUGGGGAAUUUUGGACAAUGGGGGCAACCCUGAUCCAGCCAUUCCGCGUGAGUGAAGAAGGCCUCGG